GUGGUAGCCUGCGAAAAGCUUCGGGGAGUCGGCAAACAGACUUUGAUCCGGAGAUGUCUGAAUGGGGGAACCCAGCCAUCAUAAGAUGGUUAUCUUAAGCUGAAUACAUAGGCUUAAGAGGCGAACCAGGGGAACUGAAACAUCUAAGUACCCUGAGGAAAAGAAAUCAACCGAGAUUCCCUUAGUAGUGGCGAGCGAACGGGGACUAGCCCUUAAGUGGCUUUGAGAUUAGCGGAACGCUCUGGAAAGUGCGGCCAUAGUGGGUGAUAGCCCUGUACGCGAAAAUCUCUUAGUCAUGAAAUCGAGUAGGACGGAGCACGAGAAACUUUGUCUGAAUAUGGGGGGACCAUCCUCCAAGGCUAAAUACUACUGACUGACCGAUAGUGAACUAGUACCGUGAGGGAAAGGCGAAAAGAACCCCGGAGAGGGGAGUGAAAUAGAUCCUGAAACCGUAUGCGUACAAGCAGUGGGAGCCCACUUUGUUGGGUGACUGCGUACCUUUUGUAUAAUGGGUCAGCGACUUAUUUUCAGUGGCGAGCUUAACCGAAUAGGGGAGGCGUAGCGAAAGCGAGUCUUAAUAGGGCGUCUAGUCGCUGGGAAUAGACCCGAAACCGGGCGAUCUAUCCAUGGGCAGGUUGAAGGUUGGGUAACACUAACUGGAGGACCGAACCGACUACCGUUGAAAAGUUAGCGGAUGACCUGUGGAUCGGAGUGAAAGGCUAAUCAAGCUCGGAGAUAGCUGGUUCUCCUCGAAAGCUAUUUAGGUAGCGCCUCAUGUAUCACUGUAGGGGGUAGAGCACUGUUUCGGCUAGGGGGUCAUCCCGACUUACCAAACCGAUGCAAACUCCGAAUACCUACAAGUGCCGAGCAUGGGAGACACACGGCGGGUGCUAACGUCCGUCGUGAAAAGGGAAACAACCCAGACCGUCAGCUAAGGUCCCAAAGUUAUGGUUAAGUGGGAAACGAUGUGGGAAGGCUUAGACAGCUAGGAGGUUGGCUUAGAAGCAGCCACCCUUUAAAGAAAGCGUAAUAGCUCACUAGUCGAGUCGGCCUGCGCGGAAGAUGUAACGGGGCUCAAACCAUACACCGAAGCUACGGGUAUCAUCUUAGGAUGAUGCGGUAGAGGAGCGUUCUGUAAGCCUGUGAAGGUGAGUUGAGAAGCUUGCUGGAGGUAUCAGAAGUGCGAAUGCUGACAUGAGUAACGACAAUGGGUGUGAAAAACACCCACGCCGAAAGACCAAGGUUUCCUGCGCAACGUUAAUCGACGCAGGGUUAGUCGGUCCCUAAGGCGAGGCUGAAAAGCGUAGUCGAUGGAAAACAGGUUAAUAUUCCUGUACUUCUGGUUAUUGCGAUGGAGGGACGGAGAAGGCUAGGCCAGCUUGGCGUUGGUUGUCCAAGUUUAAGGUGGUAGGCUGGAAUCUUAGGUAAAUCCGGGAUUCUAAGGCCGAGAGCUGAUGACGAGUCAUCUUUUAGAUGACGAAGUGGUUGAUGCCAUGCUUCCAAGAAAAGCUUCUAAGCUUCAGGUAACCAGGAACCGUACCCCAAACCGACACAGGUGGUUGGGUAGAGAAUACCAAG
rfam:Pseudomonas brenneri strain RGCB 108 Contig079, whole genome shotgun sequence.